CCCCGGAGCGGGCGGGCGGCUCGGCCGAAUUCCACAAGUCAGUCAGCACGGCGAACGGCGCAGAGCUGCUGCCAAGCGAUUUGCCCCGAAACUUCAGCCUCCACCUCGGCACUGUCUGGUACUUCAAGACUAUGAAAGAUUUGUUUUCUCAGGAAAUGCGUUGUUCACCAUGGAUCUAAUAAGAUAAGCUGGUUGUCUUAAAAGAUUGGACACAAGCUACAAAUCAUAUAUACUCCACAAAAUUACGUAGAUGAAGAAGACCCUGCCUCACACGAUACGUGGUUGGAAAAGGAAGGACCUGGCAUCACUCUCCAAAAGAUCUCUGGGUCACAGCGAUCCUCUGUCUACACUUUGAGAAUCACUGACUAUACAGAAUCCCCACAAGCACCUGCUUCCAACGGCCUUGGAGAAGAGUUUGGCACAUCCCAGAAAGCUUCCCACAGAGCCAGCGCUUAAGGUAGACGGGAGUCACACACAGGGCUCAAGCUGAAAUUCAGAACAUCCUAAGGGGAACUUUGCAGGAGGCCGCUCCCCCUGCCCCAACACCAUAGCCCUCCGGUGCAGAAGUAACUUCAGUGUGCAUGGGCCAAACCGCCACAGGUGGUACUUCUGCUUCUAUUCAAAUGCAGUUUUUCUUUGAAGGAGAACAAAGUAGAUCUGAAUAAAAGCCCUA
rnacentral:lncRNA from 1 species